rnacentral:lncRNA from 10 species
AUUUACCAAGUAUCUGCCAUGUUCAUUUUGUCAAUGAGAAUGACAUGGGACUUGUUCCUCUAGGAGAUCACAGUCUAAUGAGAUCAAUGUUUAUAUAGAAAAUGUAAAUAGGUUGUGAUAAGUACUAAAUGCACGCUGCUAAUGGCAUCAUCACCUCUGGCUCUUCUCAAUCCUGCGUUUCCCAUGUUGUGUCAUGCAACAGAGCUGUCACACUGCCUCUUCCUCUUCAUCUCUGGUGCCACCUGUGAUUUACUUGCACACUACCUUGUUUCUGAACUAUUGCAGCCCCUCCCAACUUAUCUCACUGCCUCAUUCACCUGCCUUUCAAAACUGGCCCACCUCCUGCUGCCCAAUAACCUGAUGUUGUCACUCUCAUAUUUAAAACCCAUAAGUGCUGCCGGGAGCGGUGGCUCACGCCUGUAAUCCCAGCACUUUGGGAGGCCGAGGCGGGCGGAUCACAAGGUCAAGAGAUCGAGACCAUCCUGGCCAACGUGGUGAAGCCCAGCCUCUACUAAAAAUACAAAAAUUAGCUGGGCGGGGUGGCACACACCUGUAGUCCCAGCUACUUGGCAGGCUGAGGCAGGAGAAUUGCUUGAACCCGGAGGCAGAGGUUGCAGUGAGCCGAGAUUGCACUACUGCACUCCAGACUGGUGACGGAGCGAGACGCUGUCAAAAAAACAAAACAAAACAAAAAACAUAUCAAUGCUGAUGAACCAAGUGCAAAGCCCUGAGCUUGGCCAGGCAACAUAGCCUGGAAACCUGACUUUUAAUCCUUACUUUGCUCUAUUCCCCCAACAUACACACACUUCAUACACCACACCUAAAAGAGACUUCCCACAGUUUUCCAAAAAUGACUCACAUUUAUAUUUCCUGUUUUUCCCUUUGCCCACCCUGCCCUCUCUCCCUCUGCCUUCAUUUUUUUAAUUAACCUCUGGAACUCAGGUGCUCCUGCUCCAAGGUUUAGGUCAAAAGUUACCUCCUCCAUGAAGCUUUCUCUCAUUCUCCCACAAUGUGUGAAAGCCCCAUUCUCAGAUUUGCUUAGUUGUGCAUUUGUAUAUUCUACCUUGCACUACAGUCAUUUGUAUAUUUAUCUUAUGGUUUCUGUGCCUUAGGAAAGGUACACUGUCUUAAUCAUCUUUGUUCAAUACAGUGCCUAGCAGAGUGCCUCAAGUAUAAUAUGUGCUCAAUAAAUAAUAGAUGCAUUUUUCCAUGCAUAUUUUCUACUAUAUCGAAGUGGAAAAUAUAUCCAUGUGAUAUAGUGAAAAAUAUCUCAUGAAGAGAGAUACAGUGAGGAAAAUAUCUCAUGAAGACCAAAAAGCAGAAAUCCAAGUUUUUUCUUUUCAUUACUAUCAUCAGUGAUUAUUAAUUUUAUGUGUCAACUUGGUUGGGCUUAGGGAUGCUCAGAUAGCUGGUAAAAUAUUAUUUCUGGAUGUGUCUCUCAGGGUGUUUCUGGGGGAAAUUAGCAUUUGAAUCAGUAGACUAAAUAAAGAAAAUCUGCCCUCACAAAUGUGAGCCAGCAUCAUCCAAUUUAUUGACAGUUUAGAUACAACAAUAAGGCAGAAGAAGGUGAACUCUCUUUCCUUGAGCUGGGACAUCCAUCUUCUCCUGCUCUGACAUUGGAGUUUCUAGUUCUUGGGACUUCAGAUUCUCCCCUGAAGUUUCUCAGGCCUUUUGGCAUCAGACUGGAAGUUAUGCCAUUGGCUCCCCUGGUUCUCAGACCUUUGGACUCAGACUGAAUUAUACCACUGGCUUUCCUGGUUCUCCAGCUUCAAGAUGACAUAUUGUGAGACUUUUCAACCUCCAUAAUUGCAUGAGCCAAUUUCCACAAUAUAUCUCCUCUUAUGUAUCUAUAUAUUUCCUAUUGGUUUUGUUUCUCUACAGAAUCCUAAUAGAUCAUCUAAUUGUUUAUCUAACAAGUAUUUUCCUCCCUAGACAAUAUGUUGGGCACUAGGGACACAAAAAUAAAAACACAGACAUCUGCACUCAAUAAACUUACAUUCAAUAUCAGAGAGAUUGGCACAGAAUACAAAUAAAAUGAGAUACAUGCAAAAUAAUAUGAAUUGCAAAAUUACGGCAAUUCACCACCAACUAGGUGUGUGACCGUGGGAAAAUCACACUGUGAGCUAAAUAUUAGCAAGUUUAAAAUGCAAAAUCAGAGGCAGUCUAUGAAUUGGACUUUGCUAAUGGCCUCCUUUGCUGAUGGAUGGCACAUUGGUGUUAGAAAGUGCUUAUUUUUGCAAAGGUCCAUUAUUGAUGCUUUAAUUCUAAGGAAAUUAUGUAGGCAGAAACUAAAGAAAGGUUAAAAAAACAGCAGCUAAAAUUGAUACUUAGACAAUAAAAAACUAAUUAUAAGUGAUUUAUCAGCACCACUAGAUAACUACAUUGGUGAAAUUUAAGGCCAUGAAAUGCAGGACAAGCCUCGUAGGAAGCAAGGUCCCAGUGGAUGAGAUGCUGUCCUCUGGGCUCCUAACCUUCCACCACUAGUAUUCACCAUAUCUGAUUGGAAAUGUGUGCAUGUGAGUCGGCCUCCCCUCUAUGAUGUGAGUAGGGACCUAUUUUUGCUCAUCUCUGUAUCCUCUACACACGAUGCUUGGCACACAGCAAGUAUUCAAUAAAUGUUUAUGAAUGAAGCAAUCAGUCAUUGUCACCAAGAAUUUACUGGGAAUU